rnacentral:rRNA from 1 species
CCUACGGGUGGCAGCAGUGGGGAAUAUUGCACAAUGGGCGCAAGCCUGAUGCAGCCAUGCCGCGUGUAUGAAGAAGGCCUUCGGGUUGUAAAGUACUUUCAGCGGGGAUGAAGGGAGUAAAGUUAAUACCUUUGCUCAUUGACGUUACCCGCAGAAGAAGCACCGGCUAACUCCGUGCCAGCAGCCGCGGUAAUACGGAGGGUGCAAGCGUUAAUCGGAAUUACUGGGCGUAAAGCGCACGCAGGCGGUUUGUUAAGUCAGAUGUGAAAUCCCCGGGCUCAACCUGGGAACUGCAUCUGAAACUGGCAGGCUAGAGUCUUGUAGAGGGGGGUAGAAUUCCAGGUGUAGCGGUGAAAUGCGUAGAGAUCUGGAGGAAUACCGGUGGCGAAGGCGGCCCCCUGGACAAAGACUGACGCUCAGAUGCGAAAGCGUGGGGAGCAAACAGGAUUAGAUACCCGUGUAGUC